UAGCAAGCCUCCAGCAUGCCUGGGUCUGCCGUGGCCCUGUGCAUUCCUACAGAGCUUGCCAGAACAGUCUUGAAAGGGUUUGAGGCCUUGUCUUGCUCCAUCCCGAGCAAGGUUAUAGAAAUUUCAGACAAUU